GAUUCGAAUAUUAAACUUAGACCCGAAUUUCAAAACGUUAGCUCUUGAUGUAUAGAAAGAUUUGGGCAUACAUGCGGUGAGUCUUAUUAUGUAUUUAUAGCAUAAAAUAACAUAUUUUUAAUGUUUUAAUAAAUUAAAGCAGACUUGGUUUAAAAUUUGAUAUUUUUUAUGUAAAGUAUGCUUUAUUUUGUUAACGACGAAUUAUGAAAAAAUAUUUGUGAAAAGUAAGUUUUACGUCGACACAUAAUUCAUACGAUACCCGUGCACUAGAGAGAGAAUAUACGUGGUUGAUGUAAUAAGGAGAUCAUGACCAGAGAUUGUUGGAAUGACUUUAUACCAAAAGUAAGGGCGCGUCUAUAUUCUUGUGUUAUUGAACGGUUAGGUGUGGUCUUCAAUUAUCAAUCGUACAUAAAUUAAAACUUGGACGUAAUUUUGUCGUAUUUGAGCCGUCCCGUGAAGGGAUUGAUUGUAUAUUUUAUCUUACUGAUAGUCAGGGUUUGGACUUUAGUUUGAGCCAUGAAUGAACAAAAGUAGUUCAUUUAUUGUUUUUAAAUAAACCUGAUUUUCCAUAUAUUUUUUAUGGUCAAAUAUAUUUAGAUAACCUGACUUACGCUAGUCUAGUGGGUAAAACGUGUCGACGUAACUCAUUUUUCAAUAUGAAAAUGUAGUGGCAAGUGCCCUAGCGUGUUUAGUUUUUUUGAUAGUUUGGUACUGUUGAUAGUCGAUGAACUUUAUGUUUUGAGUCUGUAUAGUGUAGAACUGUAUAGUUAAAACUGAUACAUAUUUUGUCGACGUUGUGGCCCGGUUUGUGGCUAUCCGUGUUGGUUUUUGUGUAUCAAAAUCAUGACAUAGAUGUAUAUAUUUGUAUUCAGUUUGAAUGUAGUGACAUGUCAGUUUUGAUUUUAUUUGGAUGUUUUCGCAUGUAUUUCAUUCAAGCAAUAUAUGUUGAAUGAUAUUAGUAAAUUUCUAAACUGAGUUAGUUAGAAAGGCCUUAGUGAAAUGAGAUUGCAUGGCUGAUCACGUGGCAUUCACGCCCUCAAUGUUUCUUUAUCGACAUCAAAAAAAACAUUUCCAAAAUAACCAUAACCUCCUCAAUAAUGCUUUCAAAGUCCCAACUCCAUACCUAACGAGUCCAAAACGCAUCACCUUCCCCAGUACAAGUGUAAGUUUAAAGUGUUACAAACCUCAUUUUCAUAGGUCAAAAAAUAAAAUUAAGGAGUAAGAACCUUCUCUCAAAUAACUAUAUAGAGAUGCUACCUAACUACUCCGUUCAAGUAGGCUUUCAAAAAUCUGAGACUGCACACGUCAGCACUCCAUUCCAUGAGCAAUGAGGUGUACCUGAAACUGUACGAUGAGCCAAAGCCCAGUAGAACAAAACCUAUCACCGCUAUAAAUAAUCAUUCUAUAAUGAUAUGAGCAUGCUAGAAACAAGAAAGGAAAUAAUACGACCUGAGCUCAAGAAAAGAAGAGAUGUACAAUACGCCAAGUAUAUCCAUCAGAAGGAAAAAAGAUGGGGUCCGCUUGUAUCCCAAGGUAUCCAAGUGUCUCAAAAACUUUGUCAUUUCUAAGGAAACUCAAACUUUAAUUUAAAUGUCUACGCCCGUGUUUACUCCCCCAAAACCUCUAAACCUUUUUCCAACCAUUUUAUCAUUUUCUUUCCCUAAAAUUCACUAUAGAACUCCGGGUUCCUCUGCGGAUUUCAUGGGCUCCGUCAAACCCCUCCGGAUUUCAUGGCUCUGACACCCCCGCGAUUCUCGGCUCCGUCUACACCCAUGCCGGGACCAACCCAGGCCGAAUGUGGCCGCGGUAAUACUACUUUACGUUUCCCAACUCAUCUUGUGGUUGGGUAAUUUAAACACUCAACCACCCCCCUUUUUAUCGUUUGAGAUAAAUUACGAUACAGGCACUAACACAUGUCAAUAUCUUGACUACCAAAAUGCCAAAGUAUUGUACCAAACAAGUAAGACACCAGACCCGCAACAAACAUAAGCCUAAUCGGGCUAAUUUUCAGCAACCAAAACUAGGUACCAAAUCACAAUGAUCGAGAUAAAUGUAUAGAAAAUAGAUAUAAACAUCACAAAACAAGGCUAUUCCAGCUCAAAACGAGGCACAAACGCACUGAAAUCUGGGUACAGUGCACAAAAUGGAUAUAAAGUGCACCAUAAAAUGUAUAAAACGCAGCCAAAGUGGUUAUUUUCAGCUCAAAACGAGGUACAAACACAGUUGAAAAUGGGUAGCAAACAGAGCAAAAAGGGGCAGCAAAAACGAAUCGAAACCAGGAAACAUGCUUUUCGUGCAAGUUCAACGCACUCAGUGUCAAGUGUCGUUGGAUACUAAAAACACACAAAGGGUGGCCAAUCAUCGGUCUCUAAACCACCAUCAAGGAUCAUUGAUAUCCAUUGACAGAUUUUCGAAUUUAAACAAGGCAAAAGUGGUUUUCAAUUCACAUCAAAUCCAACCAAGCCAUGAAAUGAACUUGAAAAGAGCACAAUCAAUGAAA
rnacentral:lncRNA from 1 species